AUCCCUUGCUUUUUCCCCAAAAUCAUGUAUAAACAUAUUGUCGGUUGGUUUUGCCUGCCGACUAUGGCGAUAAACGGGCUUCGUAAUAAGCCUAUCGGACGCGGGGGCAGUACCCGCCGCCUCCACCAUUACUGAGGGCUAGUAGAAAAGGCUAGCAACAUUAUAGGGCAAGUGGCUACUAUCGGUUAUGGGGGCGAAACAGGAUCGACGAGGGUGUAAAGGUUGAUUCCGUCGCUCGGCAUGGUUCCGCCGUUAUCGGGCUAUUUUAUAGUUGCAAAUGACAACUAUGCGGAAGUUGCUGUCGCUGCUUAGACAGUGCCAGUCUUCACUUUAAGUCCUCACUUGUCGCAAAGUGGGGCGGGGUUUGGAAGGCACCUGGCAACAGAAGCCUUCCAUU
rnacentral:tmRNA from 1 species